AGAGAGAGGGAGAGAGAGGGAGCGGUGGGCGAGGCAGCCUGAACUCCGCCGGACCGUUCAGAUGUGCUGGCCGCGCAGGAGCGACCCGGCCGGUGGUCAAGGAACAUGUGCACCUAAAAGCAGACGAACAAAGGAGAAGGACUCUCCAUUUGUGCCUUAAAGCGGGUCGUCCAUCACUUCAGGCUUGUCUGGUUCGAACUCUCACGCUCACUGGCUGACUCCCAGCACUCCCUCAACCCUUGACCCCGAAUGGCUGACACACAGCAGUUCUUCACUGGCAAGCUUUAUGUUCCUGUACACAUGCUAAAGCUGCCAGCUGAAGAACUGCUCUGGUCAGCCCUGCCCCGGAUGACUCAAGAAGAGGAAGCGGAUGGGGAAGAGGGGGGGUGAUGGGAUAAGGACAGAGGAAGGCGGUGUUUCACACACUCAGUAGACAGACUAGACUUUAAUAACCUGCCAGAUUUGAGCCACCAUUGUUUAUAUUCCUGUGUUAAUCAUAUGUGAGGUAUAUUUAACUUUAGGCAGUAUAAAAUGAAGAAGAUAAAAUUUAGUUUGUGGUCACACAUGUUGUCUUUUUCCUGCAAGAAUCUGCUUAGAUUUUGUCUGUGAUGUGUUUUCUUACAAUAAACAAAAUAUUUUCUCAGA